rnacentral:misc_RNA from 1 species
AACGCACCUUGCGCUCCUUGGUAUUCCGAGGAGCAUGCCUGUUUGAGUGUCAUUAAAUUCUCAAUCCUCUCAAAUUCAUUUUUGGAGGGCUUGGAUUUGGAGUGUUGCUGGCCUUUAUCCAAAGGUUGGCUUCUCUUAAAUGUAUUAGCAUGUGCCAUUUUUUGUGGAUAGGCUUUGGUUUGAUAAUAUCUAUGCCAUCGCCGUGACGCAAAGGCCAGCUUCUAACAGUCUCUUUCUGAGACAAACUUUUUGACAUUUGACCUCAAAUCAGGUAGGAUUACCCGCUGAACUUAA